rnacentral:misc_RNA from 1 species
CUCUCUCUCUAUCUCUCUCUCUUGAUCGAUCGAUUAUAAAUCCACCAACCCUGCUCCACUGGUUUCCUCCCUCGCCUUGUCCCUACCUAUUCAGCCUUGAAGAUUUAAAAGAAAUAUAUAGAAUAAACUAAUCACAGCUUCUUUAUUCAUUUAGUGGCAUUCCAUGUGCAUUGGAAUCACACACUUGUGCUGUCUGUGUUAUCUUAAUUAACCCCACCGUUCCAUUCAUUGAUUAUACUCUCUCAACCGCUGUAUAUAUAAAACCUCGUUUCUGUUCCUUCAGUAUUCCUCCCACUUUAGCUCUUCUUAUUUUUUUAUUAUAUUCUUCUCCUCAGUUUCAUCAAAGUCAAGUUCUGCUAACUAUUAGCUGCUGCAAAUGGGUGAAGAAGCUAAGCAGGUAAGGUUUUUGCAUGCAUUUUUUAGUCUAUUAAUUUUGUACACACUAUACGUUCGUGUUUCUUUUAGUUCUUCUGUUAAUAUUAUGAUCCACAGGCAGAGGCCAAGCCGGAGGAGAAAGUUGAAGAGAAAAAGGAGGAGAAGCCUGCUGAGGAAGAGAAGAAGGAAGAGCCAAAACCUCCAUCUCCCUUCGUCUUGUUAGUGGACCUGCAUUGUGUGGGAUGUGCGAAGAAGAUUGAGAAGUCCAUCAUGAAGAUUAGAGGUGUGGAGGGAGUAGUGAUAGAUAUGGCUCAAAACCAGGUUACUAUAAAAGGAAUCAUUGAACCUCAAGCUGUUUGCAACAGAAUCAUGAAGAAAACCAAGAGAAGAGCUAAAGUAUUAUCUCCAUUACCGGAAGCUGAGGGUGAACCAAUUCCCCAAGUUGUCACCUCACAGGUUAGCGAAUCAACAACUGUGGAGUUAAACGUAAACAUGCACUGUGAGGCCUGUGCUGAGCAACUGAAAAGAAAGAUACUCAAAAUGAGAGGUAAUUAAGCUUCUUUGUUCGUUUUUAGGGUUUAUUUCUUGUAAUCUCUUUAUUGUUAUUAAUUAGUUGUACUCCUAUGUGAAAAAAGUAGAAAAUGUUAGAAAACAACCAACUCAACAAGUUGAGUGUGACUGACCAACUGCAAGAAAGGUGACAUAAAAAUAAAGAAUCCAACAUUCCUGGGAAACCGUGCCUACUCAGAUGUUGCCACACUAGCUAAGUUGGGCCCUGCUUUCUAUUUAGGUGGCAUUUAUUGCAGUUAUUUGGAUGCAUGUACAGGUUCUCAUUGGAGCGACCUGAUCUACCUGAUCCAAAUGGACAAUGAAAAAGGACUAUGUUUCUGAAAAGGGAUAAAGGAAAUUUGCACAAAGGUCGCAUUUCUAAAUGACCCAAAAGGAGGGUUGGGUGGAUCACAUUUCUAAUUGUACACGUCUAUCAAUCGUUAGUGCUAACUUUUUCCAUGGCAAAUGAAAGUGGCCUUCAUCCUCCAUAUGAUGUGUUGUGUUAACUCAAUAGUGGACUGCUUAUUUUUAUAGCCCUUAAAUAAUGCCAUGGAAGUUAAAUAAAUUUAAUUAAUAGUCAUGAUUAAGGUGAAAAGCUUUUACUAUGUAUUAUAGGAGUGCAAACAGCUUCAACGGAGUUAAGCACAGGAAAAGUAACAGUGACGGGAACCAUGGACGCUGACAAGCUGGUGGAUUAUGUUUAUAGACGCACCAAGAAGCAAGCGAAAAUAGUGCCACAGCCUGAGCCUGAACCAGAAAAGAAAGAAGAGAAAAAAGAAGAGAAACCUGCAGAAGAACCGAAACCAGAAGAGAAAAAAGAAGAAAACUCGGAGAAGAAAGAAGAGGAUAAAAAACCUCCAGAAGAGGAACCCAAGAAGCAAGAUGGUGAAAACCCUGAACAGAAUGAGAACAAGGAAGAGGCCAAGAAGGAAGAAGGAGGAGAUCAGAAUAUCGAAAUCAUUACCACCAUGGAUGAAGAAGGGAUGAAGAGAAUGAUGUACUAUUACCAGCCACUUUAUGUGAUUGAGCGAAUCCCACCCCCUCAGCUCUUCAGCGAUGAGAAUCCCAACGCGUGUUCUAUUUCUUGAUUGAUUAAUCAAUCGAUCAAAUUCUCUCUCUCUCUAUAUAUAUAAAUAUACUCCAAGCACUUCCACUUGCGAUGAUGAUUUUUGGAGGAGCUUGAUCAGUGGAAGGUGUCAAAUAAUUAUGGGAAAAUGGGUAUUGUUUUAGAGAUUGCACCCAUCAGCCAUCAAUAGUUAAUAUCAUCAUUCUGUGUUCUAUGUAAUUUAUCAUGUAUUAAGUGAAGCAUGCAAUACAAAAUUUGCCAUCUUUUCAAUAUGAUUCAUUAGUUAAUAUUACAUUUAUCCUUCUGUUGAAUUAAUUUAUGUGCUUUCUAAUUUCUUUUGAUCUUUUUGUAUCAUCAGGGAUUGAGGUAAUGAGAUCAAUCCAAUUAAUUAAUGUUUGAUGUUUGUAUUGAAUGCUAAUUGAAAUUUAAAU